rnacentral:rRNA from 1 species
ACUACGCACUCCUACGGGGAGGCAGCAGUGGGGAAUAUUGCACAAUAGGCGCAAGCCUGAUGCAGCCAUGCCGCGUGUGUGAAGAAGGCCUUCGGGUUGUAAAGCACUUUCAGUUGUGAGGAAGGUGGUGUCGUUAAUAGCGGCAUCAUUUGACGUUAGCAACAGAAGAAGCACCGGCUAACUCCGUGCCAGCAGCCGCGGUAAUACGGAGGGUGCGAGCGUUAAUCGGAAUUACUGGGCGUAAAGCGCAUGCAGGUGGUUUGUUAAGUCAGAUGUGAAAGCCCGGGGCUCAACCUCGGAACUGCAUUUGAAACUGGCAGACUAGAGUACUGUAGAGGGGGUAGAAUUUCAGGUGUAGCGGUGAAAUGCGUAGAGAUCUGAAGGAAUACCGGUGGCGAAGGCGGCCCCCUGGACAGAUACUGACACUCAGAUGCGAAAGCGUGGGGAGCAAACAGGAUUAGAUACCCUGGUAG